rnacentral:rRNA from 1 species
UACGUAGGGGGCAAGCGUUGUCCGGAAUCAUUGGGCGUAAAGAGCUCGUAGGCGGUUCGGCAAGUCGGAUGUGAAAUCUCCACGCUCAACGUGGAGAGGCCAUUCGAUACUGCUGUGACUCGAGUCCGGUAGGGGAGUGUGGAAUUCCCGGUGUAGCGGUGAAAUGCGCAGAGAUCGGGAGGAACACCCGUAGCGAAGGCGGCACUCUGGGCCGUGACUGACGCUGAGGAGCGAAAGCGUGGGGAGCAAACAGG